GAGAUAAUCCCCUGCACCUAACAAACCUAAACACAACACACUCCAAAGUCGGAUAAAUUCCAAAUAUACAACAAGAUAGAGCGCAAUAGCUUAAGAAAGUUUUAAUGAAUGUCCAUAACCAACCAUAGAUGACCGACCAAAUGACUGACCGAAACCACCUAAUAACCAAAGUUGUCCAAACAAAGCCUUCUAACAAUGACCUAAAACUAAAUAUCAAUAAAGUGUCGAGAUAUGCCCCC
rnacentral:lncRNA from 1 species